UGGGGAAUUGUUCACAAUGGGCGCAAGCCUGAUGACGCAACGCCGCGUGGGGGAUGAAGGUCUUCGGAUCGUAAACCCCUGUCGAAUGGGACGAAAGACUCGCGAGUGAAUACUUCGCGAGAGUGACGGUACCGUUAAAGGAAGCCACGGCUAACUCUGUGCCAGCAGCCGCGGUAAUACAGAGGUGGCAAGCGUUGUUCGGAAUUACUGGGCGUAAAGGGCGCGUAGGCGGCCCUCUAAGUCAGACGUGAAAUCCCCCGGCUUAACCUGGGAACUGCGUCUGAUACUGGAGGGCUUGAGUAUGGGAGAGGGAUGUAGAAUUCCAGGUGUAGCGGUGAAAUGCGUAGAUAUCUGGAGGAAUACCGGUGGCGAAGGCGGCAUCCUGGACCAUUACUGACGCUGAGGCGCGAAAGCUAGGGGAGCAAACGGGAUUAGAUACCCUAGUAGUCCCUGAGCGGGCUGGCAAGGCGCAU
rnacentral:rRNA from 1 species